AUGAACUGUUUUAUUUCACGCAAGCCGAACCCAAUACUCCGUUGCCCUGCACACUCAGGGAGAGUGCACCUGGUCUGCAAAAGAGGCAAAAACUCGGUUUCUUUGUUCAGCACGGACAGUGGAAGAUACCAUGUUAGAACAGAGAUAUGUCAUGGUGCAAACCAUCACCUGCCCUUCAGGCGAGCACUUCCUGCAGCACAGAAAGCUGUAGGCAGUGGUUAGAUGGGCAGCUUCGAGCUCCUCAGAGCCUGCCCUUUGCACAGUUACUGCUGGACACUGCCAACAGAGAGGUGCCUCUAGGAAAUGCCUCUGCCACAUACAGCAAGGCUCUGCAAUAAAGCAAGUCGCUAACUCCUGGCUGAAGAUGAG
rnacentral:lncRNA from 1 species